UGACGAGCUGUACUAUCCUGGCAAUCUAAAGGAGACUUAUGAUGUCAUAUUUCAGGACAUAGAAAGCCCUGAUGGGAGGUCCCUUUCUAGCACUGCAGCAUCUUCCACGCUUGGCGACGCAGGAGGUUUGAAGGGCAAGCAUAGCUGGAAGCAAAAGUCCAUUGUUACAGUUGCAUUGACAUUACUAACAAGUUCCCAGGCAAUACUGAUUGUGUGGUCAAAAAGAGCUGGAAAGUAUGAGUAUAGUGUCACAACAGCAAAUU